rnacentral:rRNA from 1 species
CCUACGGGCGGCUGCAGUGGGGAAUAUUGGACAAUGGGCGAAAGCCUGAUCCAGCCAUGCCGCGUGUGUGAAGAAGGCCUUCGGGUUGUAAAGCACUUUCAGUGGGGAAGAAAGCCUUGGGGCUAAUACCCUCGAGGAAGGACAUCACCCACAGAAGAAGCACCGGCUAACUCCGUGCCAGCAGCCGCGGUAAUACGGAGGGUGCGAGCGUUAAUCGGAAUUACUGGGCGUAAAGCGCGCGUAGGCGGUCUGAUAAGCCGGUUGUGAAAGCCCCGGGCUCAACCUGGGAACGGCAUCCGGAACUGUCAGGCUAGAGUGCAGGAGAGGAAGGUAGAAUUCCCGGUGUAGCGGUGAAAUGCGUAGAGAUCGGGAGGAAUACCAGUGGCGAAGGCGGCCUUCUGGACUGACACUGACGCUGAGGUGCGAAAGCGUGGGUAGCAAACAGGAUUAGAAACCCGUGUAGUC